rnacentral:rRNA from 1 species
GAUGAACGCUGGCGGCGUGCCUAAUACAUGCAAGUCGAGCGAACGGACGAGAGGCUUGCUUCUCUGAUGUUAGCGGCGGACGGGUGAGUAACACGUGGAUAACCUACCUAUAAGACUGGGAUAACUUCGGGAAACCGGAGCUAAUACCGGAUAAUAUUUUGAACCGCAUGGUUCAAAAGUAAAAGACGGUCUUGCUGUCACUUAUAGAUGGAUCCGCGCUGCAUUAGCUAGUUGGUAAGGUAACGGCUUACCAAGGCAACGAUGCAUAGCCGACCUGAGAGGGUGAUCGGCCACACUGGAACUGAGACACGGUCCAGACUCCUACAGGAGGCAGCAGUAGGGAAUCUUCCGCAAUGGGCGAAAGCCUGACGGAGCAACGCCGCGUGAGUGAUGAAGGUCUUCGGAUCGUAAAACUCUGUUAUUAGGGAAGAACAUAUGUGUAAGUAACUGUGCACAUCUUGACGUUACCUAAUCAGAAAGCCACGGCUAACUACGUG